GAGGGAUCAUUACCGAGUUUACAACUCCCAAACCCAAUGUGAACGUUACCAAACUGUUGCCUCGGCGGGGUCACGCCCCGGGUGCGUCGCAGCCCCGGAACCAGGCGCCCGCCGGAGGAACCAACCAAACUCUUUCUGUAGUCCCCUCGCGGACGUAUUUCUUACAGCUCUGAGCAAAAAUUCAAAAUGAAUCAAAACUUUCAACAACGGAUCUCUUGGUUCUGGCAUCGAUGAAGAACGCAGCGAAAUGCGAUAAGUAAUGUGAAUUGCAGAAUUCAGUGAAUCAUCGAAUCUUUGAACGCACAUUGCGCCCGCCAGUAUUCUGGCGGGCAUGCCUGUCCGAGCGUCAUUUCAACCCUCGAACCCCUCCGGGGGAUCGGCGUUGGGGAUCGGGACCCCUCACACGGGUGCCGGCCCCGAAAUACAGUGGCGGUCUCGCCGCAGCCUCUCCUGCGCAGUAGUUUGCACAACUCGCACCGGGAGCGCGGCGCGUCCACGUCCGUAAAACACCCAACUUUCUGAAAUGUUGACCUCGGAUCAGGUAGGAAUACCCGCUGAACUUAAG
rnacentral:rRNA from 1 species